GAUGAAGAACGUAGCGAAAUGCGAUAAGUAAUGUGAAUUGCAGAAUUCAGUGAAUCAUUGAAUCUUUGAACGCACCUUGCGCCCUUUGGCUAUUCCGAAGGGCAUGCCUGUUUGAGUAUCAUGAACACCUCAACUCUCAUGGCUUGCCAUGAUGAGCUUGGACUUUUGGGGGUCUUGCUGGCCUGUGGUCAGCUCCUCUCAAAUGAAUUAGCCUGCCAGUGUUUGGUGGCAUCACAGGUGUGAUAACUAUCUACGCUUGUGGUUUUCCACCAGGUAACCUUCAGUGAUGAAGGUUCGCUGGGGCUCAUAAACGUCUCUCCUCAGUGAGGACAGCUCUUUGAACGUUUGAUCUCAAAUCAGGUAGGACUACCCGCUGAACUUAAGCAUAUCAAUAAGCGGAGGA
rnacentral:misc_RNA from 1 species